rnacentral:rRNA from 1 species
UGGUAAGGUAANNGGCUUACCAAGGCGAUGAUGCNAUAGCCGAGUUGAGAGACUNGAUCGGCCACAUUGGGACUGAGACACGGCCCAWACUCCUACGGGAGNGCAGCAGUAGGGAAUCUUCCACAAUGGACGCAAGUCUGAU